GCCCAAGUGGUGGAAUUGGUAGACACGCUAUCUUGAGGGGGUAGUGACGGAAGUCGUGCCGGUUCGAGUCCGGCCUUGGGCACCA
rnacentral:tRNA from 1 species